rnacentral:SRP_RNA from 2 species
GGCGACCCCUCGUGUGGUGUCAUCUCGCUGAACUCCCCCAGGGCUUGACGGCAGCAAGGGCAGGCGGGCUCUGGCAGGUGCACGGGGGGUCACUUCA